rnacentral:RNase_P_RNA from 2 species
UGAGUAAGCUAGAUGAUCGCGUUUACCUUUUAGGUAAAUGAGGAAAGUCCGAGCUCCAUAGGGCAAGGGUGCUGGGUAAUACCCAGUGGAGGCGACUCCAAGGAAAGUGCAACAGAAAUAAACCGCCACAUAUGUGGUAAGGAUGGAAAGGUGAGGUAAGAGCUCACCAGCAACUAGGCGACUAGUUGGCUAUGUAAACCCCACCCGGAGCAAGACCAAGUAGGAGCAUACAAAGGGGGCUGCCCGUUCCCGCUCCGUUGGUAGGUCGCUUGAGCCUACUGGCAACAGUAGGCCUAGAUAGAUGAUCAUCCAAGACAGAACUCGGCUUAUAGACUUACUCAUUAC